CACCGCGGUUAUACGAGCGACCCAAGUUGAUAACCCCCGGCGUAAAGCGUGGUUAAGGAACUAUUAAACUAAGGCCGAAUACCCUCAGAGCUGUUAUACGCACACCGAGGACACGAAGAACCACCACAAAAGUGGCUUUAACCCUCCCCGACCCCACGAAAGCUAAGAAA
rnacentral:rRNA from 1 species